GCUAAACAGCUAGCUUAAUUACUAAAAUAACAAAAACAACAUUAAAACAUUUUACUAAACCAAAAUAUAUUAAACUAAAACAUUCUCCCGCCCUAGUAUGUGAGACAGAAAAGGCACGCCUUAAAGCCAUAGAAGUAGUACCGCAAGGGAACGCUGAAAGAGAAAUGAAAUAAUUCAUUUAAGCACAACAAAGCAGAGACUAAUCCUCGUACUUU
rnacentral:rRNA from 1 species